rnacentral:rRNA from 1 species
UCUGCCUGGGCGACACACGUGCUACAAUGGAUAGGACAGAAAGACGCAAGACCGCGAGGUGGAGCAAAUCUUUAAACCUAUUCUCAGUUCGGAUUGGAGUCUGCAACUCGACUCCAUGAAGCUGGAAUCGCUAGUAAUCGCGGAUCAGCCAUGCCGCGGUGAAUACGUUCCCGGGUCUU